rnacentral:rRNA from 1 species
GACAGAGGGUGCAACCGUUGUUCGGAAUUACUGGGCGUAAAGCGCGUGUAGGCGGCUUGGCAAGUCGGGUGUGAAAGCCCUGGGCUCAACCUAGGAAGUGCACUCGAAACUGCUUCGCUGGAGUGUCGGAGAGGAAAGCGGAAUUCUCGGUGUAGAGGUGAAAUUCGUAGAUAUCGAGAGGAACAUCGGUGGCGAAGGCGGCUUUCUGGACGAUUACUGACGCUGAGACGCGAAAGCGUGGGGAGCAAACAGG